AUCCUUCAUCGUGAUGGCCAGCAGAGCCUUUUUCGAUUCAGCUUUUAUAUCCUCAAUUGGGGGCACAACGGUGUCCUCGAAGUGGUCUUGUGAAUUUGCUGAAUAGCCACGAGUUACACGAAGAGCCUCACAAAACGACGCGUAUCUCAAAUACUAAUGAAUAUUUUGACGUGAAAUUUAGCAUAGAUGACACUAACAGUACUACAGAAAAAAAUUUUCCGAUUCGAAAAACACGCGAAGUAUAAAUUAAAAACUCAUCUUUCAAUUUGAUCACAGUAGUAUCCCCAAAUGGGUUGAGGCUGAUCGAUUUCGCCGGGGCGCGAAAUAUGGUUAUCUGUAGUACUAGAUUCCAGCAUAAGAAGAUUCAUCAAGCUACCUGGUUGUCUCCGGAUCGAAAAACCACCAACCAGACCGAUCAUGUUGUGAUAGACGGAAGACACGUCUCCAGUGUUUUAGAUGUGCGCGCGAGUUAAGGAAUGUAUUCCUUAUAAUAGUAACAAACAUCAAAACAACCUUUUGUUUCAGUAACCAGAAUGCAGAAACAACCUUGAGUUGGUACAAUUGAAAUGCACUAUCACUACAACAAACAAUCCUAAACAAACAAGUAUCAAAACAACAUUGAGUUUGAAUACCACAACAACCUUAAAACAAAGCAAAUGUAUCUAAGCAAACAAUAUAUAUGUAUGUAAACAAACCUACACAAAUAAUAUAAUCUGUAUCUUAACAAACUAUCGACUAGUAAUAAGUAAACAUACUAGUUAGUAUAAAUAGAAGUAAGAAACAUGUAAAAAGUUAGUCUUAAGAGUAUAAAUAAAGAGUACACAUUUCGGUGCAGCUCAAAAUA